GGGUUGUGAGGUUAAGCGACUAAGCGUACACGGUGGAUGCCCUGGCAGUCAGAGGCGAUGAAGGACGUGCUAAUCUGCGAAAAGCGUCGGUAAGGUGAUAUGAACCGUUAUAACCGGCGAUGUCCGAAUGGGGAAACCCAGUGCAAUUCGUUGCACUAUCGUUAACUGAAUACAUAGGUUAACGAGGCGAACCGGGGGAACUGAAACAUCUAAGUACCCCGAGGAAAAGAAAUCAACCGAGAUUCCCCCAGUAGCGGCGAGCGAACGGGGAGCAGCCCAGAGUCUGAAUCAGCUUGUGUGUUAGUGGAACGGUCUGGAAAGUCCGACGGUACAGGGUGAUAGUCCCGUACACCAAAAUGCACAGGUUGUGAACUCGAAGAGUAGGGCGGGACACGUGGUAUCCUGUCUGAAUAUGGGGGGACCAUCCUCCAAGGCUAAAUACUCCUGACUGACCGAUAGUGAACCAGUACCGUGAGGGAAAGGCGAAAAGAACCCCGGCGAGGGGAGUGAAAAAGAACCUGAAACCGUGUACGUACAAGCAGUGGGAGCACCUUCGGGUGUGACUGCGUACCUUUUGUAUAAUGGGUCAGCGACUUAUAUUCUGUAGCAAGGUUAACCGUAUAGGGGAGCCGCAGGGAAACCGAGUCUUAACUGGGCGUUAAGUUGCAGGGUAUAGACCCGAAACCCGGUGAUCUAGCCAUGGGCAGGUUGAAGGUUGGGUAACACUAACUGGAGGACCGAACCGACUAAUGUUGAAAAAUUAGCGGAUGACUUGUGGCUGGGGGUGAAAGGCCAAUCAAACCGGGAGAUAGCUGGUUCUCCCCGAAAGCUAUUUAGGUAGCGCCUCGUGAACUCAUCUUCGGGGGUAGAGCACUGUUUCGGCUAGGGGGUCAUCCCGACUUACCAACCCGAUGCAAACUACGAAUACCGAAGAAUGUUAUCACGGGAGACACACGGCGGGUGCUAACGUCCGUCGUGAAGAGGGAAACAACCCAGACCGCCAGCUAAGGUCCCAAAGUCAUGGUUAAGUGGGAAACGAUGUGGGAAGGCACAGACAGCCAGGAUGUUGGCUUAGAAGCAGCCAUCAUUUAAAGAAAGCGUAAUAGCUCACUGGUCGAGUCGGCCUGCGCGGAAGAUGUAACGGGGCUAAACCAUGCACCGAAGCUGCGGCAGCGACACUAUGUGUUGUUGGGUAGGGGAGCGUUCUGUAAGCCUGCGAAGGUGACCUGUGAGGGUUGCUGGAGGUAUCAGAAGUGCGAAUGCUGACAUAAGUAACGAUAAAGCGGGUGAAAAGCCCGCUCGCCGGAAGACCAAGGGUUCCUGUCCAACGUUAAUCGGGGCAGGGUGAGUCGACCCCUAAGGCGAGGCCGAAAGGCGUAGUCGAUGGGAAACAGGUUAAUAUUCCUGUACUUGGUGUUACUGCGAAGGGGGGACGGAGAAGGCUAUGUUAGCCGGGCGACGGUUGUCCCGGUUUAAGCAUGUAGGCUGGUU
rnacentral:rRNA from 1 species